rnacentral:rRNA from 1 species
AUUGAACGCUGGCGGCAGGCCUAACACAUGCAAGUCGAACGAGUGGCGGACGGGUGAGUAAUAUAUGGGAAUCUGCCCGGUCGAGGGGGAUAACUACUGGAAACGGUCGCUAAUACCGCAUACGAUCGGAUGAGCCGAUAUGGGAUUAGCUAGUAGGUGGGGUAACGGCCCACCGAGGCGACGAUCCGUAGCUGGUCUGAGAGGAUGACCAGCCACACUGGAACUGAGACACGGUCCAGACUCCUACGGGAGGCAGCAGUGGGGAAUAUUGGACAAUGGGCGCAAGCCUGAUGCAGCCAUGCCGCGUGUAUGAAGAAGGCCUUCGGGUUGUAAAGCACUUUUAUUGGGGAGGCGUUACCCAAAGAAGAAGCACCGGCUAACUUCGUGCCAGCAGCCGCGGUAAUUC